rnacentral:rRNA from 1 species
UACGUAGGGGGCAAGCGUUGUCCGGAUUUAUUGGGCGUAAAGAGCGUGUAGGCGGCUUUACAGGUCCGUUGUGAAAACUCGAGGCUCAACCUCGAGACGCCGGUGGAACCGUAAGGCUUGAAGACCGGGAGAGGUGAGUGGAAUUCCCAGUGUAGCGGUGAAAUGCGUAGAUAUUGGGAGGAACACCAGUGGCGAAGGCGGGCUCACUGGACCGGAACUGACGCUGAGGCGCGAAAGCGUGGGAGCAACAGG